AUGCUGUCCUAGGGAGAACUGACUACAGCUGUCCUCAUCUGAGCUAUGUAAAACUUGUCUAUUUAAUUUAUCUUGAGUGGCAGGAAAUUUACAGAUUCUUGGCUCCUGUAUACAGUACAUUGCAUACUAGUUUCAGUUAGUGGAUUAUUUUGACAGUCUAAGCAAGUAAGUUUUGUCAAGUUUAUUUUAAGCAAAUAGCUUUUUUUCUCUUAAGAGAAUAAUAAAUAUUAAAAAACAAAUUCAUCAAAAUAAUCGACAGAACAUUAAAUAUCAAUAUCCAGUUUUAUAAUUUGUACAGUACAUUUAUGAAAUAUUUCCAUUUAUGUACAAGAUAUAUGCAAUUAAUAACGAGAAUAAGAAGAUGUGAAAUGAUUGCCAAUUAGGUAACUCUCCAUCAAAGACAAAAUGACAUAGAAUAUGUAGAAAAUAACUACUACAGGUCACUGUAUGAGUCGACCUUCAACAAUGAGUUAAACAUUUAUUGCUUUAAAAAAGGGAGGAAAGAGAGAAGAAAGAGAAAAAAGAAAUGAAACUACAUGUACUCUUGAUUUAUAAUCUUUGUUUGAUUCCUUAAAAUCCAAAACUAAAUAAUAUGUCAUUUAUGAAAAAUUGUGUUUAUUUUUUGUUUGUUAGACAUUAGACAUUUAUGUCGAACCAUCUUUAUAUUUGUUAGCAUUUAACUUACAUGUAUUUAUAACGGUAUAUUAUAUAUAUAUAUUUGGUGAAUAUUACUAACAACCACUAACUCCUGUAUAUAUAAAUAUCAUUACGAGGCCGGGAUAAGGUACCGGUAAUCGAUGUUUUAAACUAACAAAUGUAAAGAUAAAAAAAAACCAAAAAACAAUGAGUGAAACCCAUACCGCUUAGUCAACUUAAUUAACAUUUACUAAAAUGGAAAAGGUAAAAAGUGCAUAGUCAACACUAACAAUCAUGUCAACAGAAUAUACACCAACUAACAAAGACACACAUAAGUAAAUCGCUUCAAACAAUGCAAUACACCUUAUCGCUAUUUGUGCUCCAUAAUACUGGACAUCACAAAAUAUCAAGAAAAUUUUGAUUGUUGUAUGACGCCAACAGUUCAAGUGGGACAGAUUUCCAAAAAGCAAAAAGGUGUAUGAAUAACUUGAUAUUAAUGUUGUAAAAUUACCAUUCUCUCCGUACAUUUUGAUAGAUGUUGAUAUGGGACUGAACCCAUCAUCUUUUAUAGGCUUAAUCAGUGUUUAUACUGUAAAUUAUUCAGAAAUUAUGGUGUGCAUUCAUUAUAACAAUUUUAAAUUUAAACUAAAAUAUGAAAUAUGAGUUUUGCAAUAUUGAGAAAAAUCCUGUUUAAUUGACAUGAAAAAUUUCAAAAUGCGAGUAAAUUAUUGCGAAAACUAUAACUUUGUUGCAUUUUAAGCAAUAAUAAAACCAUUGCAAUAAUUUCUGAAUUUACAAUACUGAGAUAUUUAAAGCAUAUACACAGGACAGAAAGUCACAAGAAAGUCAUAGUGGACAAUUUAAAAUAAAAUCUUCUUGACCAAUUUAGGCCAAUUAAAAUUAAUUGAUUGAUUUUCAUCCCCGCCCGCCCCUCUGAAAUCAUCCCGCCCCGAUUUUUUUUUUAUUUUGCAAAAUUUACGAUUUCCGGAUUUUGUUCAUUUCUGUUACUGGUAACCGUCAAUAAUUUCGUUUCAUUCGAACUUCCUGUUUAUAAAAUUUCGGUUUUCAUAUUUCUUGUUUCGAGUACUUUAAAACGAUUAUGUUGACAAAAUCUGCUGCUCAAUGAUGACAGUAUCAUCUACGGAGAAUAUAGAAAGAUUACCAGAAGGGCAUGAAAUAUUCGGGUUACAAGUAUUAAAUACGCUGUGUCCAACGCAAAUCGCGGUAUGUCACAAAUUGGAAAUUUCUUUCAUCAGAAAAUUGUGGAUUUAUUUAAUAAUACAUUGACUUUGUGUAAGCAAAUUUGGGCUGUGAAUGAUUUCCAAGAAUCGUGGAACAAAUUGGUAGAAAAAAAGAGUUCAAAAAGUCGGCAAACAUACAUGUACAUUGUGUACUAGAAAACCCUAAGAUUUACCUAUGGCUAUUGUUUUUGUUUAAAAACACAAAAUACCAUUUACAAUGUAAUUAUAUAUGCGUCACUUCUUGCAUAACUUGAGAAUCAUAAAAGCACCAACUUUACUAUUCCUGGCAACGCUUGUUUGAGUUCAUUUUAUUCAUAAUACUAAUGUGCUGCAUACAUUUGCAUAAGUUUAUGGGGACUACAAACCAUCACUUAGAGAGCAAAAUAAAUUUGGAGUUGGUAGUCAAAUGAAUAGAGAAUUUCUCCAUGGUUUUACUGUUUGCUGAAAAUUAUAUGUAGCAAUUGCAUGUAGAACAGUCCGCGUUGCAAAUCAGAGAUGUUUAUUCAAGAAUUAUGUACGAUUCUUUAUACAUGUUUAAACAUUUACAUGGUAUAAGCUAAAAUUUGUAAUUAUAACACUUGCAUAUAUAUGAAGUUCACGCCACAAGAAGGUUUCAAAUUGAAUAAAAUUUAAAAAAUAAAAUCCUCCCACCCGCCCCAUUUUUUUCAAAACUUUGGAUGAAAAUCUACUAAUUAAUUUUAGUUGGCCUUAUUCAGUUAAACAGAUAAAUAAUGUAGUUAUACAAUGGGCUGCAAUUUCAGCAUUAAUAAAAAUGUCUUCUAGUAGUUAAAAAAAUAAUGGCUAAAUUGCCCUGCACCCCAUUUUUGAUGCCAUCCUACAUUGAAAUAUUGGAAGUCUAGAGUAUAUUGUUAUGAAAUUAUUCAAAUUUAAAACAUGCUUACGACAUCCGAAAGAAUUUGAUAUGCUCAUUCAGUGCUAAGUGGUACUUAACCAAAGGGUACUAAGGAUGUCAUGAUCAAAUUAUGAAAGUAUGGUUAUAACAUGUACAUGUAAGUGGACCCACGUGCCUGAUCAAAGUUUAAAGUGAAGUAUUUCAUUUGUUCAAUUGAUCCAGAUGUUUUCUCAAUAAUGUUUAAAUUAUAUCGUAGAUGUUUUAAUAUCAGUAUUAUUCUCAUUUUCUAUGAAAUGUUUGGCUUUGAAAUUCGAGAACUGCUAAAAAAAUUUAAAUUAUGACAAAUGUUAUCUCUUUAAUUUUAAAAUUGUUCCAGUCUUCACGCUUUACCACAGGUCCUAAAGCAUUGGCUUGUAAAAUUGCUUUCAGGCUGAUAAAAUUCUUCUCUUCUAGCCAAAAGAAUCCAACUAAAAUUUUCAAAAAAGUUAGCUUCUGGCUUGUGGACUCAACAGAUAAGCAUAAAGGCUGUGGUUCACUAGAAAAAAUUGGUCCAAUGACAAAUCCUGGUUUUAUUGAUAGAAAUAAAACAAUUUCGUGAAGGGUAAUCAAUAGAUUUAGGGUCUGCUAUCAAACUUCUGUGUGUAGGGAGCCAGGAAGCAAGCAUACAUUAAUUAAUUGCAUAAUCAGAUUAAUUUUUUUUAAUCUUGCUGAUUUGUUAGCUCAUUAUACGACCGCAAAAAUUUUAAUUUUUCAUCGUAUAUUGCUAUCACGUUGGCGUCGUCGUCCUUCGUCGUCGUCGUCCUGCGUCGUCGUCGUCCGAAUACUUUUAGUUUUCGCACUCUAACUUUAGUAAAAAUGAAUAGAAAUCUAUGAAAUUUUAACACAAGGUUUAUGACCACAAAAGGAAGGUUGGAUUGAUUUUGGGAGUUUUGGUCCCAACAUUUUAGGAAUUAGGGGCCAAAAAGGGCCCAAAUAAGCCUUAUUCUUGGUUUUCGCACCAUAACUUUAGUAUAAGUAAAUAGAAAUCUAUGAAAUUUAAACACAAGGUUAUUGACCAUAAAAGAAAGGUUGGGAUUGAUUUUGGGAGUUUUGGUUCCAACAGUUUAGGAGUUAGGGGCCAAAAAAGGGCCCAAAGAAGCAUUAUUCUUGGUUUUCGUACAAUAACUUUAGUAUAAGUGAAUAGAAAUCAAUGAAAUUUAAACACAAGGUUUAUGAACACAAAAGGAAGGUUGGGAUUGAUUUUUGGAGUUUUGGUCCCAACAGUUUAGGAAUAGGGGCCAAAAAGGGGCCCAAAUAAGCAUUAUUCUUGGUUUUCGCACCAUUAUAAACUUUAGUAUAAGUAAAUAGAAAUCUAUGAAAUUUAAACACAAGGUUAAUGACCAUAAAAAGAAAGUUGGGUUUGAUUUUGGGAGGUUUGGUCCCAACAGUUUAGGAAUAAGGGGCCCAAAGGGUCCAAAAUUGAACUUUGUUUGAUUUCAUCAAAAAUUGAAUAAUUGGGGUUCUUUGAUAUGCCGAAUCUAACUGUGUAUGUAGAUUCUUAAUUUUUGGUCCCGUUUUCAAAUUGGUCUACAUUAAGGUCCAAAGGGUCCAAAAUUAAACUUAGUUUGAUUUUAACAAAAAUUGAAUCCUUGGGGUUCUUUGAUAUGCUGAAUCUAAAAAUGUACUUAGAUUUUUAAUUAUUGGCCCAGUUUUCAAGUUGGUCCAAAUCGGGUCCAAAAUUAAACUUUGUUUGAUUUCAUCAAAAAUUGAAUAAUUGGGGUUCUUUGAUAUGCUGAAUCUAAAAAUGUACUUAGAUUUUUGAUUAUUGGCCCAGUUUUCAAGUUGGUUCAAAUCAGGAUCCAAAAUUAUUAUAUUAAGUAUUCAGCAAUAGCAAGAAAUCUUCAAGUGCAAUAGCAAGCAAUUUUCAAUUGCACAGUAUUGUGCAAUAGCAAGAAAUCUUCAAUUGCACAAUAUUGUGCAAUAGCAAAUAUUUUCAGUUGCACAGUAUUGCGCAAUAGCAAGAAAUUUUCAAUUGGAGUUAUCUUUCUUUGUCCAGAAUAGUAGUUGAAUCAACUUAAAUCAUUGUUUUAUACAAUAUACAAUGUAUAUUCACUUUUACUACCAACUGAUAAAUUAAAACAAUCUUUACCAUUCAGUGAUAACAAGAACUUUAUUUUACAUUUGAAUAUUUUAUGAUGUAUUCAAAUGAGUAAUUAUUGUUGCAAACUCCAUUAGGAAUUUGAAUUGAAAUCAGUUUUAGAAAAAGGGAAAGGGGGAUGUGAAAAAAAAAUCGGGGCGUUAAAUUUUUCUCAUUUCAGAUUUCAUAAAUAAAAAAGAAAUUUCUUCAAACAUUUUUUUGAGAGGAUUAAUAUUCAACAGCAUAGUGAAUUGCUCAAAGAAAAAACAAAUAUUUUAAGUUCAUUAGACCACAUUCAUUCUGUGUCAGAAACCUAUGCUGUGUCAACUAUUUAAUCACAAUCCAAAUUUAGAGCUGAAUCCAGCUUAAAUGUUGUGUCCAUACUUGCCCCAACUGUUCAGGGUUCAACCUCUGCGGUCGUAUAUAGCUGCGCCCUGUGGAGCAUCUGGUUUUAAUUUGUUAUGGGCAAACUGGAUCCCUGCAUUUUUAGACUGACAAGAAGGUCAUUGUACCAGUUUAACAUUUUUUAAGCACCCCUCUCUGUUAUGUAGAUGAUUUAACCAUAGUACUAUCUACAUAAAUAUAUUAAUUUUAUCAUUUAUCAUAUUUACAAGUGCACAAAUGAUGUAAUAUUACUUUGACUUUAACCAAAUUCUUUUGAAGGAGAUAACAAAGAUAACGAUUGGAAUUAAGCAUAUUUCAAGGUUGUGAGCACUUUAAUCUGAUUAAACUAAAAUGUUUUGAGACAUCCAUAAAUAAUACCUUAUUGGUUUUAACAUUUCUCUAGAACUUAGCUAUGAUCUAUUGAAUAAUUGAUUGUUUUUUAAUGCCACUUUUAGGGGAGGGUUCUAGAAAACAUUUUUUAAAAUGGUCUAAAGAUAGAAAAGUGCUUGAAAUUAGAUACUGUUUGAAAAUAAAGAUAUGUAUGUAUAGACUAUUUGAAAGUGUUGAAUAUUUUAGUAUUUUGACUUUAGUUGUCCUGUAAAUCUUCCACCCUUCUAUUAACAUAUGUCUGGAAUCCUGGUUACAUGAAAAAUAAUUUUUAGCAAUGUGCAAUGGCAUUUCUAUGAUAUAACUUGUUUUAUGAUAUGAAAAAUGAUUAGGUAGAGAUACCAUGUUUACUGCAAAGAUAUAGGAGUUCUUACAGCUUAGGUUAAGUGUCUGUAGGUAGAAUAUUAUAAAAGUAGUUAGAUUCCAAGGUUACUGCAUAAUUCUGGAAUGACAUAUUGUAAAACAUGGUAUGGCACAGUGGAAUGGUAAUUUAUGCAUACCAUGGUACAGUGAUAUGAUAACCAUGUCAUCAUACCAUACCUUGUUUUACAGUAUGCCUUCUGGAAUCCCUCUUGACUUAUUUAAGAAGACAUGCACUUGCAUGAUAAAUGUAUCUGUUAUACACAGCAUUGUAUAAAUCAUUUUUUAUACAGACCUACAUCAGAGAUUCAAUGUUUACAUUUUCUUACAAGAGCCAUCAUAGGAAUGUUAAGACUUAGAGAUGUUGAGGAUAUGCAGUUUCCUGACGUUUUUAUGAUGAAACUUCAUUUUUGGCCUUGCAUAUUUUGAAAACAAAAAAUCUUAAUAUAUUUGCAUAAAAAAAGUUCAGUUUCUUCUCCUUGUCAAUUUUCUACUGUGGAAGUACUUUUAUUCCUCAGGGGUACCAAUUUUCAAGGCUCUUCCUUGAAUUUAUGUGGCCAAAGAAGUAAAACAAUUGGGUACUGUCCAAGUCCAGCCAUGGAAAGAUACCCAUGAAAUCACCUAGAUGAUACAUUAAAUACAAGCACCUGCAUAAUGUACUUUACAACUGCAGAUAUAUGAUUAUACAUAUGCUAUCUAUCAAGUCCUAAACAAAUGAUAACUUCAUAUAUUUUCUAUUCCAUAAAGAAACUUUUUUGUUCAUUAAACAUGUUUAAAGUGGGACUCUGGCUCUCAGUCUUAAACUAGUAUUUUAAUUGUGUGUUAUCUUGAGUCAGAGACAAUAGUUGUGCUUUGAAAAUUAUAUGACCACAUGACCAAGAGUAGUGCAGAUUUGUGGUCAAUUGUAUUAUUUUUUUUAUCUGUGAGUUUUUGCUUCAAAUUUUACUGACUCGAAUAAAAUUACUUAUGAAUUGAGCUUCUUAUUUUAUAUGAUAAGAAUUAAUACUUGGAUUUAAAGUAGCAACUUUAGAUUUUACCAUGUUUGUUAAGUGAUAUGUUUAUGGCACAAUUAACACCUUUUGUGACCUUUAAACAAUAAAUUCUCAGUAACACAUGCUCUCAGUAUCAAACGCAAUUUAUUCAUUGUUUCAAAUGGCUGUUGUUCAAAAUACAAUAUUCAUUCAGUUUUGUUUUUAGGAAUCUGAAAUCCACAAAGUCAAAAUGAAAGUUACAACUCCACAAUCUUUUCUUUAAUAAACCACACAAUUGUUACCCAAAGAUAAAACUAUUGUCAUUAUAUCAUAGAUUUUCCUUAUUUUAUCAAUGUUGAAUUAUUUAAAGCAACUAGGUUUUUUCGAACACAUGCAUAGAUAGAGGACCUGAGCUGAGUUAGAUUUGGCUAAAAAUUUUAAGUUUUGGUUAAAGUUCAAUUGUUUACCAUCAAGUUGUGGUCAUAUCAACUUAAAGCUUAUUACAUGGUGUCAAAAGAAACUUAAGAUUUUUUUUAAUUUAUGACGUGGGAUAAUUAUACCGGUAAUUAUUUUACCACUUUGAAUAUGUUUAACGUCAUAGGAAGAAGAAAAAAAGUGACUUGUAAAAUCUAUCGAUAUGGUUUUUGAAAUGUCAAAAAUCUGACAUAUACGCUACUAUUUCAGGAAGUACUAAUAUAUAUUACAUUGUGUGAAGCUGCUUUUCAACAUUUUAGUUUUCUGACUGAAUAAACAUUUUGGUAAGUCAAGCAAAAGAUUUUCUGAAUAACAAAGAUCAAUUCAUUUUAAUUUAUGGAAAAUGAAAAAAAAAUGCAUUUUAUAUAUCAGUCAAACAGUAUUCAGUAAUUUCUACAUUUGGAACAGAAUAUAUUUCUUUUUACUGUCGUGUUCAGCUUUCUAGAGAUAAAUUACAUCGAUGAUAUCUAUGAUGAGUUUAUUUACAUUGUGGUUGUGACUUUACACAGGGGUUCAGUUUAAAAAGUUUUGUUUCUUUACACAAAAUUUAAUUUACACAAGGUUAAACUUACACCAGAGUUCAAAUUACAAUGGUUUCUACUUAAAACAGGAUUCACUUUACACACAGGGUUUGGUCAACUAAGGCUUCUACUAUACACAUGUUUCUACUUUACACUGGACUCAGUGUACACCAGUCUAUACUUUACACCAUUUGUACACAGAGCUCAGUUAACACAGGUUUAUAAUUUACACAGGAUUGAGAUUACACAGGACAGUUUACACAAGGCUUUAGUUAGUUUACACAGAAGCAUUUACAAAGGGCUUAGUUUACACAGCAGGGUUUACACAAGAGGGUUUACACAGGGUUUAGUUUAGACAGGAGGAUUUAUGCAGGGUUUUAUGAGUUUACACAUUGUCAGCUCACCUGUCCCAAAGGGACAAGUGAGCUUAUGCCAUCACUUGGCGUCCGUCGUCUGUCGUCCGUCGUCUGUCAUCGUAAACUAUUUCAAGAAUCUUCCUCCUCUGAAAACUACUGGGGCAAAUACUUUCAAACUUUAACUGAAUGUUCCUAGGGUAUCUAAUUUAUAAAUUGAAUCCGAAGUUGAUCUAUCACAAACAUCGUCACACAUUGCUAAAAAUAGAACAUAGGGGUCAAAUGCAGUUUUUGGCUUAUAACUCAAUAAUCAGACAACCCAUUGUUGGGUUGCUGCCCCUGAAUUGGUAAUUUUAAGGAAAUUUGGCUGUUUUUGGUUAUUAUCUUUAAUAUUAUUAUAGAUAGAGAUAAACUGUAAACAGGAAUAAUGUUCAGCAAAGUAGAUUUACAAAUAGUCAACAUGACGAAAAUGGUCAGUGACCCCUUUAGGAGUUAUUGCCUUAUAGUCAAUUUUAACCAUUUUUCGAAAUCUUAGUAAUCUUUUACAAAAAUCUUCUCCUCUGAAACUACUGGGCCACAUACUUCCAAACUUUAACUGAAUGUUCCUUAGGGUAUCUAGUUUAUGAAUUGUAUCUGAUGUUUUGAUCUAUCAAAAAACAUGGUCGCCAUUGCUAAAAAUAGAACAUAGGGGUCAAAUGCAGUUUUUGGCUUAAACUCAAAAAAAAAGCAUUAGAGCAAAUCUGACAUGAGGUAAUAUUGUUUAUCAGGUCAAGAUCUAUCUGCCCUGAAAUUUCAGAUGAAUCGAACAACCUGUUGUUGGGUUGCUGCCCUGAAUGGUAUUUUAAGGAAAUUUUGCUGUUUUGGUUAUUAUCUGAUAUAUUAUAGAUAGAGAUAAACUGUAAACAGCAAUAAUGUUCAGCAAAGUAAGAUUUACAAAUAAGUAAACACGACCGAUAUGGUCAGUUGACCCCUUUAGGAGUUAUGCCCUUUAUAGUCAAUUUUUAACAAUUUUUCGUAAAUCUUAGUAAUCUUUUACAAAAAUCUUCUCCUCUGAAACUACUGGGCCAAAUACUUCCAAACUUUAACUGAAUGUUCCUUAGGGUAUCUAGUUUAUAAAUUGUAUCCAAAGUUUUGAUCUAUCAACAAACAUGGUCGCCAUUGCUAAAAAUAGAACAUAGGGGUCAAUGCAGGUUUGGCUAUAACUCAAAAACAAAGCUUAGAGAUGUUUAUCAGGUCAAGAUCUAUCUGCCCUGAAAUUUCAGAUGAUCAGACAACCUGUUGUUGGGUUACUGCCCUGAAUUGGUAAUUUUAAGGAAAUUUUGCUGUUUUUGGUUAUUAUCUUGAAUAUUAUUAUAGAUAGAGAUAAAACUGUAAACAGCAAAAUGUUCAGCAAAGUAAGAUUUACAAAUAAGUCAACAUGACGGAAAUGGUCAGUUGACCCCUUAGGAGUUAUUGCCCUUUAUAGUCAAUUUUUAAACCAUUUUUCUAAAUCUUAGUAAUCUUUUACAAAAUCUUCCUCCUCUGAAACUACUGGGCCAAAUACUUUCAAACUUAAUUGAAUGUUCUAGGGUACUAGUUUUAAAUUGUUUCCGAAGUUAUGAUCUAUCAACAAACAUUGGUCGCAUUGCUAAAAAUAGAACAAGGGGUAAAUGCAGUUUUGGCUUAUAACUCAAAACCAAAGCAUUUAGAGAAAUCUGAUGUUGGGUAAAUAUUGUUUAUCAGGUCAAGAUCUAUCUGCCCUGAAUUUUCAGAUGAAUCAGACAACCUGUUGUUGGGUUGCUGCCCCUGAUUGAUAAUUUUAUGAAAUUGCUGUUUUUGUUUAUUAUCUUGAAUAUAAUUAUAGAUAGAAAUAAACUGUAAACAGCAAUAAUGUUCAGCAAGUAAGAUCUUCAAUUAAGGCAAUUUGACAAAAUUGUCAAUUGACCCUUAAGAGUUAUGCCCUUUAAGACUUUUUCACAAUUUGUUCUCUUGUGACUUACUUUAAAAAUCUUCUCCUUGAACUGCUGUAUCAAUUUCAGCCAAACUAGGCUAAAUGAGUUUCAGAGUAUCUGUAUAAAUUUUAUAUUUUAUUUCCUGUAUGUCAAGAACAUAGCUCCUAUGGCUAAAUAGAACAUAGGAGAAAAUGAUUAUUUUUUUGGCUUUUGAAGAAAAGGACGAUCCAAAAACAUUUAAAUAAAUUAAAGCCAAAAUAAUCAUUGAUGAGAGAUUUAACCAAAAGAAUUAAGGUGAGCGAUUCAGGCUCUUGAGAGCCUCUUGUUUAGUUUACACAGGAGGGUUAACACAGGAUUUAGUUUACACAGGAGGGUUACUUCAGUGUUUUGUUUACACAGGAGGGUUUACACAAGGCUUAGUUUAAAUGGUUUAGUUUACACAGGAGAGUUUACACAGGAGGGUUUACACAGGGUUUGGUUUACGUAGGAGGGUAUACACUUAGAAUACUUUACACAGGAGGGUUUAUGCAGGGUUUUAUGAGUUUACACAUUGUUUAGUUUACACAGGAUUUAGUUUACACAGGAGGGUUACUUCAGUGUUUUGUUUACACAGGAGGGCUUACACAGGAGAGGAGGGUUUACACAGGGUUUAGUUUACAUAGGAGGGUAUACACUUAGAAUACUUUACACAGGAGGGUUUACACAUAUAAUAUUUUACACAGGAGGGUUCACACAGGUUGAUUUGCACGUGGAAUAGUUUACACAGGGUUUACAUAGGAGGGUUAACACAUUGCUAUAUACUUUACACGUGAUGGUUUUUUUCGCAGCUUUUGGAAGUUGAGUUUUGACAGAUUGUUUUUUUCGCAGCUUUUGGAAGUUGAGUUUUGACAGAUUGUUUUUUUUACUCCUCUUACUCAACCUUAAAAAUGAUAUUAUGAUUUUGUACCAUUAAUGUCACAAUAGAAUUAGAAAUGAUGAAUUUUAAAAUGUUUUUCUUGUGACAACUUGUAACAGCUCUAACGACUGAAUUCUACUUAAAACAUUAAUUUUAGGCAGCAUUUAUCAGUCUAUCAUUUAGUAUUCACAAGAUAAAAUAAAUCGUAUUUCCUAUUUAAUAGAGGAUCUGUAAUCAGUAGGUUGAUUUUCAUAUGAAACAAUUGCAAUAUAGACAGUAUAUUAUAAACAAAACCUAAAUGGUUCAUAAGUUAUAAAGAAUUAAUAAUAACAGGCUACAUUAUAUAUCAUUAAAUUCUCUGGGUAAAGAUUGUUAUUAUUUUGUGCUUGAUCACACACAUUUUGUGUCUACAUCAGAGAUAGAUAACUUUAGCUAAAUUUGGCAAAUCUUUAAGGAAUUUUUGGUCCUCAAAACUCCUCGAUUUCUUACUUUAUUUGGCCAUUUUAACUUUAUUUGAAUCGAGUGUCACUGGUGAGUCUUUUGGUGACGAAAUGUGUGGUAUGCAUAAAUACAAAAUUCCCAUCCUUGUAUCUAUGAUGAGUUUAUUUAAAUCCAAAAAACUUAAAAUUGAAUUGGUGUGGCCUUAGAUUUAAAAGUAACAGACUAACUUGAGUUUGUUUAUUUAUUUACAAACACAUGAUAUAGGAAGUCUAAACUUAAAGGUAUGGUCAUUUAGUUAUUGUAAUUUAUCUACUUAUUAACUGGGGUAUAGAAACAUUAUAAAAGCAGUCUGUAAUCUAUAUUUAUAAGUCAGUCAUAUAACAACUGUAAAAUAUUAUCUUGGGAACUAUUUAUGGCCAUACCUAAGUGCAAGGGUAUAAAAAUUGCCAAUAAAUUUGGAUAACUUAUUAGUACUUUGUAUAAUUUCUUGACUUUACAACCUUUUAACCCUGAAUAUAUAUAAAAAAGAAAUUAACCAAACAUUUUAAUUGAUUUAAAUUGAUUAUGCAUGGAAUUCCUCACUGUAACAUCCGAUAAGAUUUGUAUUAGGCUUAGUUUCUUCAAAAAAUAUUUGAUCUUUUCAUCAAAUUAAAAUGAUUUAGAAAAAAAAGUAAUUGAAAACCAAUAAAUACACGUAUUCAUGUUAAACAUUUUUUUAAUGACAUUACUAUAAUUAGUAGCUGUUGAUGAAAUUUUCUCUCAAGAAAGAGGGUAACAUUAACUAAAGAUCAAACACUCAGUAUUUUUUUCUGAGGGUAAUAUUAACUAAAUAUCAAACAGUCAGUAUGUUUCUCUCCCUGCCAUUAAUUUCUGUCUUCUAUUGAAAUCAAAGAGAACUUUGUUAAACAUUAGUGUCAAAUAGAAAUUCCUGACUUGUGUAAUGAUUAUGUAUUGACUAUGAUAUAGCAAAAAUAAUUAGGCUCUGAUGUAUUUAAUAUAAGAGUGUCAUGAAUUCAUUAGGGUUUUUAACUUAUCUUAACCAAGUAGAUGGAAUAUAUGUCUUAAAAUCUGUAUAUCACAUUUUCCUUCUUUUACUUUGUUUAUGAAUUAACAUUGUCUUUUGACCGUUAAACAUGGAAUCUUGGUUUGAAAAAAUAUUUUUUUGAUAUCUUAUAUUGACCCCUCAGAUCAUGUGCAGGCAUGUUUAUGUAAUUUAUAUGUGUUUCUUGUCUCGUUUUUAGCUCACCUGGCCCGAAGGGCCAAGUGAGCUAUUCCCAUCACUUUGCGUCCGGCGUCGUCGUCCGUCGUCGUCCAUCGUCCUUCGUCCGUCGUCGUUAACUUUUACAAAAAUCUUCUCCUCUGAAACUACUGGCCAAAUUUAACCAAACUUGACCAAAAUCAUCAUUGGGGUAUCUAGUUUAAAAUGUGUGCGUGACCCGGCCAACCAACCAAGAUGGCCGCCACGGCUAAAAUAGAACAUAGGGGUAAAAUGCAGUUUUGCUUAUACUCAAAAACCAAAACUUUUAGAGAAAUCUGACAUGGAGUAAAAAUGUUUAUCAGGUCAAGAUCUAUCUGCCUGAAAUUUCAGAUGAAUCGGUCAACCUGUUUUGGGUUGCUGCCCCUUAAUUGGUAAUUUUGAUGAAAUUUUUGCCGUUUUUGGUUAUUAUCUUGACUAUUUUUAUAGAUAGAGAUAAAAUGUAAACAGCAAUAAUGUUCAUCAAAGUAAGAUUUACAAAUAAGUCAACAAGACCGAAAUGGUCAGUUGACCCCUUAAGGAGUUAUUGCCCUUUAUAGUCAAUUUUUAACCAUUUUUCGUAAUCUUAGUUAUCUUUUACAAAAAUCUUCUCCUCUGAAACUACUGGCCAAUUAAUUAAACUUGGCCACAAUCAUCUUUGAGGUACCUGUAAAAAUGUGUCCGAUGACCUGGCCAAUCCAACCAAGAUGGCCACCACGGCUAAAAAUAGAACAGGGGUAAAAGUAGUUUUUGCUAUAACUCUGAAACCCAAAUCAUUUAGAGGAAAUCUGACAAGGAGUUAAAUUGUUAAUCAAGUCAAUAUAUAUCUGCCCUGAAAUAUUCAAAUGAAUUGGACACCGUUUUGGGUUGCUGCCCUCCAAUUGGUAAUUUUUAAGAAAUUUUGCUGUUUUUUGGUUAUUAUCUUGAUACUAUUAUAGAUAGCGAUAAACUGUAAACAGCGAUAAUGUCAUCAAAGUAAGAUCUACAAAUAAGUCCACAUGACCUAAAUGGUCAAUUGACCCUUAAGGAGUUAUUGCCCUUUAUAGUCAAUUUUUAACAAUUUUCAUUAAUUUGGUAAAUUUAUGUAAAUUUUUACCAAAUAUUUUUCUCUGUUACUAAUGUUCAAAGUUCAUUAUAGAUAUAAUUGUAAGAAGCAAGAAUGUUCAGUAAAGUAAGAACUUCAAACACAUCACCAUCACCAAAAUACAAUUUUGUCAUGAAUCCAUUUGUGUACUUUGUUUAAUAUGCACAUAGACCAAGGUGAGCGACACAGGCUCUUUAGAGCCUCUAGUUUUAUAUAGAUUAGACCUUUGGUUUUCCUGUUUGAAUGGUUUUACACUAGUAAUUUUGGGGCCCUUUAUAGCUUGUUGUUUGGUGUGAGCAAAGGCUCCGUGUUGAAGGCCGUACAUUGGCCUAUAAUGGUUUACUUUCAUAAAUUGUUAUUUGGAUGGAGAGUUGUCUAAUUGGCACUCACACCACAUCUUCCUAUAUCUGUGUGUAAUUCAAAUAAAACAUUUUUUUUAACUGAAUAAUUCAAGAUUUAAAAAAAAUAUAAGUGGUAAUUUAUUCUCUCUUUCUGAUUUUUUUCUGUAAAGUUUAACUUAUUGUUAUGUAACAUCUUUCAAGUCAAUAAUACAAGAUAUAGUUUUGAAACAAAAAUCAAAAAAAAGGAAAUUAUAAGCAGUAUGUGAUUAUUUUCAAAAUCCCAUGUUUUUGCCCAUUGUUAUGAUUUGAAUCAUACAUUAUUAUACUGCCAUGUAAAAAUCAUCUGGUAAUAUUUAAAUAUGAAAUCCAGGCUUAUAAAUCCUAAGCUCUGUCGAUCAAUGAACACUCCAGUGUAAUAUGGGGCAAUUAUAAGACUAUUUUCUGCUACAUUGAAGAUCUUCUUUAUUAACUUGCCUUUUUACCUAUUAAAGGUGCACUGGGUCAUUGAGGGCUUUACUAUAUAAUUUAGAGAGAUGUUCUGCAUGAGUAAAUACCAAAAGCCACAGGCGCUUAUACCUUCUAUUAUUUGAUCAAGUCAAAUGUCAUGAAAUUGUUUAUACAGAUAAAAAUCAAAAGUGUGUGUUCUCUCAUAUAGCACUGGUAGCCCUUUAAUAAACGGAAACCGGAAAUUUAUUGCUUGUGUUAAUGACACACUCCGGAUAAUGAUAACAAGUUGUCUGUUAAGAUUGGAUAAUUGAAAUUGAAUAAUGUAAUAGGUAGCAUAUUAAGAUAAAAGAUUAACACUAUUUUAUUUAUUACUUCAUUGACUUAAUUAUCAUAGACAGUGUUGUGUCAUCAGAAGAAAAAACGAAUUUUGUUUAAAUAAGGUAGGGUAGUCUCGAAGUCUUAUAGAAAGGGGAAAUGGUUUUAAUUUCUCAAAUCGUAAAUUCAAAAAAGGACUUGUUUAAAGAAUGUGUUAUUAUUAUUAGAAGAAAAAAACAUUUUAAAGAAGGUUAAAGGUAGUUAUCUGUCAGAUAUAAAAAAAAAAAAAAAAAAAAAGGGGGGGGGGGGGGGGUACUCCAAAGAGGGGAGUUUAAUGAAGUCUUUUUUACAUAUUUGUCAUAAUUAAAAGCAGAGAUUUUUAAGGACGUCAAUUAGUUAUCAAUCAUAAGUGCUUAUCUCAUAGAAAGGCUAGAAGUGGUAAGUUGGAAGUCCAUAGAGGGAAAUUUAAAGGCCGGACUGUGCAAUGUAAUUUUCAUUUCAUGAUUUGUUAGUGCACUCUUUAUUCUGGUAGUCUUUUAAUUACAGGGUUGUUGAAUCAGGGUCCAAUCUUUUAAGAGUUUACUACCAGCAAUACAAAUGUAUUAAAUUAUCACAAACUUGUAUCUCAUGUGUGUGUCUUUAAUACACCCAACAAUUUCGGUUAAAAAUUGAACAUUAAAAUAAAUUUAAACUUUAUGUUUCUCAACUUUAACAAAUACAUUAAAUGAAAACAUAUUUGGCAGUAUAUUUGUAAUCUUGACAUUAUAUAGAAGUGUUGUGCACUUUAUGAAGAAGUAUUUUUAUUCUGUUGAUCAUAUUUUCUGUAAUUUAAUCUAGAUUUUAAAGAUUUAAAUUCUAUAAACUUGAUAAAUGAAAAUAUAUAUGAUAGAGCAGUAAUAUAUAUUGGCCAAUGAACAGGAAAUACAUUGAUACAGAAAGUUUUCAUAUCUUUUAUAUAUAUAAAAAGUGUAAUAUCAAGUUACUCUUAACAUUCUUAAAGGAUCAGGACAAUGUUUUAUUUAUAUGAAAAUGGAAUGUAAUCAAAAAGCAGGAAAAUGAUAAAAUUUAUUUAAAAGGUCCAAUCAAAAUUCACAUUGAUAUAAAAUUGGCACAAAAUAUUGUAAUAUUUUUCUUUUGCCAAUGGUUUGCUAUAAAACUGACAUAAAAUAUUUUCAAUAUGUGAUGUCACUUUAACCGAGUUUUAAUAUAGCACUCAGUCUUCAAACCUGCCCACCUAAUCCUUCAUUAACUAGAAAUGGAAUAAUUUGCUGUUUUGAAUGUUUUUCUGAAUUUACUUGAAUCAGGUAAUUUAGAUACCAAACAUCUGAUAAUCAAGAAUGUAUUAGACCAAAUCUCACAAGCUAUCUUCCAAGAAGGUAUGUUAAUAUUAAGGAGUGUUCCCAGUACAGAAAGCAUGAUAAAGUGAUUAAAUUUCAGAACAAAAAUUGUUUAAGUUAGGCUAUCGAAAUGUUAACAUAAAAUUUCAUGAAAUAUUUAUACUUUUGGAAAUUUUAUAAAUAUUUUAAUUAAACAAGACAAAUCUAUUUUAGUUAAAACAUUGGGUAGCCAGUGGAUAUUAGUUACAAAGGGUUAACAUGUUCAUGUUUAAAGUAUGCUAUUUAUAUUUGCUACUGGACAUUAGGCAACCAUCAUUUAAUCAACAACGUAAUCCUUUAUUUUGGGACUUUGUUUCCGAAUAACGGAUGAUUAUAAAUAGCUAUUCACAACUAAGCUGGGGACAGGACCAAAAUAUAACAUAUUAACAGUAUCAUACCCCACCUGAAGGUCAUCAACUGUUUUAGAAAUGUUAAUCUAAUUUUUAUGGCUUAUUAAACCCCUACCUGAAGUAGGUCUAUGGAGGUACAAAAAUUUCAUUUAGUUUUUAAUUUAACCUUUCAUGCUAACAAGAAAUUAAUCUGGCCUUGAUAAUAUUUCUAAUAUCAGCCAGAAAAUUUAUUCCGCUCAUGUUAAGGUUAGAUAUAACAGUUUUGGUUUUAUUAAAGGAACGGUUUCAAAUUUUAUUUGAUCAGCUUUUACACAAAUUGGAUAUGAUAUUAAAGGUUCAUAUAAUUAUUUUAAUAUGUAAUCCUACAUAAUCUGAUAAAUAAAAAACAUUCAGCCAUACAUCUGAAUUUUCAACAAAAUAUGAUCUAUUUGAAAGAUACAGCUCAAAAUAAAAGUAUAUGCAUGUCCUUAUUAACAAUUAAACAUGACUGCAGAGAUAGGACAGUGUUACUAAUGUACUUAACAAAUUAAAUAAAUAAGUUGAAGAUUGAAAUUUGACCCUAGAUAACUUGAAAUGCAUUUGAGUCAUUGAAUGAACACAUUCAAGUUUGAUGUUUUAACUCAUGUGAAGGAACAAGUUUAAUUUUUUAGCUUAUAUAAAAGUAUCAGUUAAAUGUUUGAACACUCAUGUACAAGCACAAGUUUAAUUCUCUAGCUCAUGUAUAAGUCUUGUUUAAAGCUCUAGCUCACGUACAAGUCUUGUUUAAAGCUCUAGCUUAUGGUUAAGUACCAGAUAAAUUCUCUACCCUGUGUAUACACAAACCAGUUGAAUUUUUUAGCUGAUGUACAAGAACCAGUUGAAUUUUCUAGCUGAUGUACAAGUACCAGUUGAAUUAUCUAGCUCAUAUACAAGUACCAGUUGAAUUCUCUAGCUCCUGUACAAGAACCAGUUUAAUUAUCUAGCUCCUGUACAAGAACCAGUUUAAUUAUCUAGCUCCUGUACAAGUACCAGUUUAAUUCUCUAGCUCCUGUACAAGUACAAGUUUAAUUCUCUAACUACUGUACAAGUACCCGUUUAAUUCUCUAGCUCAUGUACAAGUACCAGUUUAAUUUUCUAGCUCCUGUACAAGUAUCAAUUUAAGGCUCCAAUUCUCCAGCUGAUAUACAAGUACUAAUGUCAUACUCUAGCUAGCUUGUGUGCAUGAACCAGUUUAAAGUUCUAGCUCAUGUACUAGUUCCAGUUUAAUUCUUCAGUUCAUGUUCUAGCUCUGACAAUUACAAGUACCAGUUUAAUGAUCUAACUCAUGAACAGGUACCAGUUUAAUACCUUAGCUCCGGAACAUGUAUCAGUUCAAUGUUUUAGCUCUGACAUGAACAAUAAGCUAACUGCAGUUUAAAGCUUUAGAGCAUAUAUACAUGUACAUGUACCAGUUUAACAUUCUAGCUUAUGUACAUUUACUAAUUUAGUGCAAAAGCUCCUGUACAAGCACAAGCUAAGUACUAGACCACAUGUACUACUACCAUGUUUAUCCUUCAGCUUACAUUCUAGUAUGAGCUUUAUACUUGAGCUCUUGUUUGUACCAAUUCCAUUGUUUAGGGCAUGUACAAAUAGCAGUUUAUUACUUAAGUUCAUUUAUAGGUACAGGUUUUAAACUGACUAAAAGACAUAAUUUCUAUGCACUUGGCCUUUAAUUUCAUUAAGCUUUUUGUGUUUAACAAACAAGGACAAAAAUGCAGUGAUGCGAUAAGCAUUUUAAUGUAAAAUGUUUUGUUUUUCAGAUAAACAAAAGAAUAAGGUGCGAGUCUAUGAUGUAAAAGACACCAGGUCAUAUCGUUUGACAGAUCUGUUUUAGAGGUAAAAAUAUCUUUGAUCUUUUUCAGGUGAGAAGGAACAAGUAUCUAUACAUUGAACAUUUUGUUUUACUAGAAUUAUUUAUGUUUUAUUGCAGUUUUAUUGGCAGUAUACAUGUAUUUAGUCUAGUCAACUAAUCUGUGAUUGACAGCCGAGUUGAAAUUAGAUAAAGCUCAAAGAAAUUUUAAACCUUUUUAAGUUGUGUGCAGUAAACAUUGAAAUAUUGUCAUUAUACAAAAAAAAAAGAUUUGUUAUGAUUGCCAGUGAGACAUCUCUAUCAGAGAACAAAUGAUGUAGAAGUUGACUGUAGUGUCAGCAUGCAACCUUAAAAAUUUGUUAAACAAUGAGCAAAACCCAUACCACAUAACAUGAUGUAAAGCCCCUGACAUGACAAAUGUAAAACAAUUAAAAUGAGACAACUAUGAUUAGCAUAUUCAUACAAGAAUAGCAAAUAAUGAUUGCAUAGCCUAAUAUUUCAAAAGAAUUGUAUGUAUAGUUUAGUAAACUUGUUGGUUUUUUUUUGGAGAUGAUGAAUAUGAAAUAAGAAGAUGUGGUAUUAUUGCUAAUGAGACAGCUGUUUAUAGAAACUAUUCAUUACACAAAAAUUAGCAACUGUUGGUCAACAUACAAUCUUCAACAAUGAGAAAAUCAUAGCAAGCUAUUAAAGGCCCUGACAGAACAAAUGUAAAACAAUUCUAAAGAGAAAACACUAUUGUUUUAAAUUUCAUUCAGUUAUAGACUGCUAAGCCAUUUGUACGCAUGUCCAACCUCUUGAAAUGUUGGACUUGUUAAUUUAAAGAUGCACUGACUUUUAUUUAAUAGGAAGUACACCACUAAUUCAUGGUCCCAUUGCUUUCUAUGUUAAAUUCCUCCGUUUCAAGCAGGCACACCUCUUAUUUUAAGUUCAAAUAAAGUGGCAAUCAUUGCAUUUCAAAGCAACACUUUAUGGUGUCUUGUACUGAAAAAAUCAACAUACCUUGCAUGGCAUAAAAGAAAGAACUGGUUCCCGGAACUUCAGAUGUACCAAAACAGGUACUUCAGAUCUGACAAACAGACAAAAUGUACCGUACCCUCUUUUUAAAAUUCAAAACUAAAAGUCCAAAAGUGUUCUACAAUGAUCACCAGUCCUUCAGCUUUCAUUUGAUACCAAAAAUACCUAGAUAUUCUACAUAUUUUGAAAGUUACACUCAUGCGUAGGAACUAUUUUGUGUUAAAUAUGUACUACUUUCUGGUAUGUGCUUUCUGGCCGGGCCUGAAUUAGUGGUGUUACACCUAUAACAGAACCAAACUUGCUAUAUUGACUUGUUUAUUACUUUUUUUCAUUCUAUGAUCUAUUUCAAGCAAUAAAAAACAUAUAAAGCUUUAGUCCAAAGACUAUUUUAUUACUUCAAAGCUCAAAUUGGACUGGUAGUAACAUAUGGGUUAUUCAAAGAAAACUGCAUAUGUAUAUUACCAGUGGCCAAUAUCCUUUUUUUUUAUUCUCAAUUCAUUUUAUUUAUUAAUUUCUAUUAGGAAAGCUAUGCGCUUACUGAUAGUCAUAUUUUUAUCAGAGGUUCUUCAUUAAAUAAAAAUAUAUUAGUCUAAACUUAAGGCAUAAAUGAGAAAUUAUCCCCCCUUUUUUCUUGAAAUUCAUAAAAGGCUUUUUUUUGUAUGAACCAUAAAUUCUGUGGAAAAAACAUAGAUUAAUAGAGCAAUUUAUAUAUCCCUAAGCUAGAUAACUUGCUAAACUGGUUCAAAAUUGCAUGCACAGUGAGAUUUUAGAAUUCUUAUAUGAGUAUAUACCAUUUGCCUAGAUUGUAAAAGGCUACCACAAGAAAAACAAAAAAUCUUGAAAAAUCAGAAAAUUAUUUUGACCAAGAGCUAUUCUGUUUCAUAUACAAGUCAUAAAAUACAUGUUUUAUGGAUUUCAAUCAGAAAAAAUGCAAAAAUAAGAACUUGGAGUCAGGUCCUAACUGCAUGCAUGUUGUAUGAUCAUAAAAGGCUAACAUACUUGAGUAUGCCAAUUUAAGAGCUUAAAUUUCCCAUAAGCAGGUUGGUUGACCAAAAAAAGAUGAUUAAACAUGAUUACUAACAUCAUAUUUGACUUAUUUUCAUUGGAAUAGGUACAACUUCUAAAAAUUGGAUUUCUGGUGAUUCUCUGUAAUAGGAAGUACACCACUAAUUCAUGGUCCCAUUGCUUUCUAUGUUAAAUUCCUCCGUUUCAAGCAGGCACACCUCUUUUAUUUUAAGUUCAAAUAAAGUGGCAAUCAUUGCAUUUCAAAGCAACACUUUAUGGUGUCUUGUACUGAAAAAAAUCAACAUACCUUGCAUGGCAUAUAAGAAAGAACUGGUUCCCGGAACUUCAGAUGUACCAAAACAGGUACUUCAGAUCUGACAAACAGACAAAAUGUACCCUCUUUUUAAAAUUUGAUGCAGUUUUUUUAAUAUUCAAAACUUAAAGUCCAAAAGUGUUCUACAAUGAUCACCAGUCCUUCAGCUUUCAUUUGAUACCAAAAAUACCUAAAUAUUCUACAUAUUUUGAAAGUUACACUCAUGCGUAGGAACUAUUUUGUGUUAAAUAUGUACUACUUUCUGGUAUGUGCUUUCUGGCCGGGCCUGAAUUAGUGGUGUUACACCUUAAGAAAUCUCCAGCUAGCCUGAGUAAAAUACUGUUGCAUAAGUUCAUCAUCAUGAGGUAACAUACAUGCACUGCAAUGGGAAACUUAUUUCAUAAUUAAAUAUGGUUUCAAAGUACCUGAUUAAAAAUGUGAAUAUCUUGCCUUAAAUUUAUAAUGUCUGUAAAUAUAUAUUACAGAAACAGGACAGUAAAAUAUAAAAAUAAAUACAUAUAUAAAAAAGAUAGAUGCAAAAAAGAAUUAUUGAAAUAUUUAUCCUUUUGUUACCUCCAUUGGUAUAUAUUUUUUACUUUUUCUGUAAAAUAAUGAAUUACUUUAUAAAUGUGAUUACUUAUGAUGAUCUGUCAUAUAUGUAGAAAAUAACCCAACAGUACAAAGACAAGUUUAUAUACAGACAGGCUGAGAAUCAAAGGUGUUAUUCCAAGGUAAGAAUUGAAUACUGAUAUUUUGAACUUAACAACUUUGUGAGGCUUUAACAUGGCUAGUUCCAACCUGCGAGUUAGGGUUUUUGGCAGGUAUCUCAUAUUAAAAAAGACUUGUUACCUUAAAAUGUCCAAACCCCCAACCUGAAAGUUUAGAACUUUAUUAUUUGCUUAAAAGUUACCUGGUUACCUGAGGCAAUUUUCAGACUUGACCUUGUUACCUAAAGAUGUACCCCUUUAGAGCCUCAUUUGUUAUGGACUCUAUGCAAAGUUGCCAUUAAGUGUUACCCUUGUUAGUAUGUUCAUACAGACUAAAAAUUUGUUCUGUUCUCUAACUUUAGUUUGCCUCAAUCAGAUGUUAUGAAUCUUAUAUUCAAAGCUUUUUACCAUAAAACACAGAUCAAGUUCAAAUUCAGUGGCAUCACCUUUAUCUAGUUAUUUCUAAUUAUAACUGUAUAUGGAAGCAGGGACAUCAUCUGUGUCCAUUGAACAUAUUUUCCAUUUAUUUAUAAAAGUCUUGUGUUGGAUCAAACAUAUCAAAUGAUGUUAUUGAACAAUCUACUGUGACAUGGAGACAUCAGAAAUGUACCUGAAAAUGUAUAAAUGUCAAAGUAGUCUUUAUAUUUACAAACAAUAAUAUGGUUUUAAAUUAACUUCUAAUUCUGAACUGAGUUCCAAUGCUUAUUGCAAAAUAACUCUAUCAUUUAAUUGAUAAGAUUACCAAAUAUAUUAUUUUUAAUAACCAUAUAGUAGGAGGGAGGGGGAGACAUCAAAAACCAGACAUUUUUAAUUGUCUGUCAUGAAUGAAAAGUUAAUUAAUGAAUCUUAGAAAGUCAGACUUAAUAAACCUUUUCAGUUUCCAUAUUCCAUGAAGAUCUGUACAAUAACAAACAAUUGAUAUCUUAAAGUAUCAUAUGUCAGAUUUGAAUAAUUGAUUGGAAACAGCAGGGAUUUGUUUAUGGAAUGACUGUAAAAAUUUUCUGUCUAUGAAAAAAUUACAUAAGAAAUAUGGUGCAAACUAAAUAACCCGUGUAGCGUGUGUUGUUUAAAGUUUGCACAACAUUUUCAAUGUUAUUUCAAAUAGACAGAAAAAAUAUUUUAGUUAUUUCAUAUAGUUUAAUCUUAAAUUCCGUUUUUAGCUCACCUGGCCAGAAGGGCCAAGUGAGCUUUUCUCACCACUUGGCGUCCGUCGUCGUCGUCGUCGUUAACAAUUUACAUUUUGAACUUCUUCUAGAGAACCACUGAAUGGAAUGGAACCAAACAUGGCAUGAAUGUUCCUUAUGAGGUUCUGACCAAGUGUUGUUACUUUGUAGCCGAUCCAUCAUCCAAGAUGGCCGCCAGCGGGGGACUUAGUUUAACAUAGGACGCUAUGGAAAUGCAUACAAAUGACUUCUUUUAGAGAACCAUUGAAUGGAAUGAAACAAACAUGGCAUGAAUGUUCCUUAUUUGAGGUGCUGACCAAGUGUUGUUACUUUGUUGCCGAUCCAUCAUCCAAGAUGGCCGCCAGCCGGGGACUUAGUUUAACUUAGGACCCUAUGGGAAAUGCAUACAAAUGACUUCUUUUAGAGAACCACUGAAUGGAAUAAAACCAAACAGCAUGAAUUAUCCUUAUGGGGUGCUGACCAAGUGUUGUUACUUUGUUGCCGAUCCAUCAUCCAAGAUGGCCGCCAGCGGGGGACUUAGUUUAACAUAGGACCCUAUGGGAAAUGCAUACAAAUGACUUCUUCUAGAGAACCACUAAAUGGAAUGAAACCAAACAUAGCAUGAAUGUUCCUUAUGGAGUGCUGACCAAGUGUUGUUACUUUGUAGCCGAUCCAUUAUCCAAGAUGGCCACCAGCGGGGACUUAGUUUAACAUAGGACCCUAUUGGAAAUGCAUACAAAUGACUUCUUCUAGUGAACCACUGAAUGGAACGAAACUAAACAUGGCAUGAAUGUUCCUUAUGUGGUGCUGACCAAGUGUUGUUACUUUGUAGCCGAUCCAUCAUCAAAGAUGGCCGCCAGCAGGGGACUUAGUUUAACAUAGGACCCUAUGGGAAAUGCAUACAAAUGACUUUCUUUUUAGAGAACCACUGAAUGGAAUAAAAACCAAACAUAGCAUGAUUGUUCCUUAUGGGGUGCUGACCAAGUGUUGUUACUUUGUAGCAGAUCCAUCAUCCAAGAUGGCCGCCAGCGGGGGACUUAGUUUAACAUAGGACGCUAUGGGAAAUGCAUACAAAUGACUUCUUUUAGAGAACCACUGAAUGGAAUGAAACCAAACAUGGCAUGAAUGUUCCUUAUGAGGUGCUGACCAAGUGUUGUUACUUUGUUGCUGAUCCAUCAUCCAAGAUGGAUGCCAGCCGGGGACUUAGUUUAACAUAGGACCCUAUGGAAAAUGCAUACAAAUGACUUCUUUUAGAGAACCACUGAAUGGAAUAAAACCAAACAUAGCAUGAAUGUUCCUUAUGGGAUGCUGACCAAGUGUUGUUACUUUGUAGCUGAUCCAUCAUCCAAGAUGGCCACCAGUGGGGACUUAGUUUAACAUAGGACCCUAUGGGAAAUGCAUACAAAUGACUUCUUUUAGAGAACCACUGAAUGGAAUAAAACCAAAAAUUGCAUGAAUGUUCCUUAUGAGGUGCUGACCAAGUGUUGUUACUUUGUAGCCGAUCCAUCAUCCAAGAUGGCUGCCAGCAGGGGACUUAGUUUAACAUAGGACCCUAUGGGAAAUGCAUACAAAUGACUUCUUUUAGAGAACCACUGAAUGGAAUAAAACCAAACAUGGCAUGAAUGUUCCUUAUGAGGUGCUGACCAAGUGUUGUUACUUUGUAGCCGAUCCGUCAUCCAAGAUGGCCACCAGUGGGGGAAUUUUGAAUGAAAUUAAACAUGUUCCUUUCCUUAUAAAUGAGGUUGUGUUGUCACUUUUAGCCAAAUUUUAUAUUUUUUUAUAUGAUUUCAAAAACCCAAGUAGAAUCAGGUGAGCGAUACAGGCUCUUGAGAGCCUCUAGUUUAAGAUGUAAAUAUGAUCACAUGACAAAAUUAUGCCUCUGAGCUGAUAGACAAAAAAAACAUUCAGCGAUCAACAGUUGUGGAUCCAGAACUUUUCCUAAGGGGGGGGGGCUCCAGAUAUGCUUCAAUGAUUCCCUAUAUAAUCAAACAAAUAUUUCCUAAGCAAGGGGGGACCCAGCCCCCCCCCCCUGGAUCCGCCUGUGAUUAAUAGAUGUGAUAUAUGCAAAACUAAAAAUAUUUCAAUAUACAGUGGAAAAAUCUACCAAAAGUUGUAUUUGGACUUGAUUUGUACAUUGUUUAAAUUUUGCAAAAAAAGCUUCAAGAAAUUCUAUUUAAAUGUAACUGUUUGUUUCAUAUAUUUAAAAUUAAUAUAGUUGCUCUUCACAAAAAAGCUUUUGUGAUCACAUUUCAGUUAACCGAAAGAUCAUUUUGCGUGUUGAUGAAGACUGGACGUUAACCUCUGUAUGUCUUUUAGUUUUACGUGUCCUUGUCACAUUGAUUAAUACCCUUUCGUAGCCUUUUUACGAUAGUUUGAAUUACUUCCAACUCAUUUGCAUAACACGGCUGAUCUAGAUUGACAGCAAUCGUGAACAUUUGUACUUUAGGUAUCAGUUUAGUAAGAUAUAAUAUCGAUUGUGGUUCAAAUCUAUUCUAUGUAGCUUAACUUCAUUUGGUUUGGGUAAUUACAUAUAUUGAUAAGAGUUCUAUUAGAUUUGUCCUGAGUAGAAUAUCAACAGUUGUCCACAUUGGAAGAAUAAAAUCUUUGUCCAGAAAAUAUAGCUGAAAGAGAAGAAAAAAUGUGCCGGGUCUUUGGGUCCGUUGAUCAGUCUGUUUGUCUGUUUGUUCAAAAUCAGAGACUUACUAUUUGGUUUUAGAUAGUUUGUGCUCACAUCAACUUGAAACUUAGUGCACAUAGAUAUAGGGAGAUGUGGUAUGAGUGCCAAUGAGACAACUCUCCAUCCAAGUUCAAAACAAAAUGAAAAAUAUAUGAUGUAUAUGACAAAUUAGGGAUUUGACCCGGAUUUCACAGAUCACUGAAUAAAAUUAUGUAAAUUUGAUACAGAUUAAAGUUAUGGUUAAAUAUUUAUAAAAUUUUUGUUUUAAGGUAGUUUGUGGUCAUGUCAACUUGAAACUUGGUACACAUGUUUGUUACAAAGUGUACUAUUUAGAUUAUAUAUAAAAAAGAAGAUGUGGUAUGAUUGCCAAUGAGACAACUCUCCACAAGAAACCAAAAUGACACAGCUAUUAACAACUAAAGGUCACUGUACGGCCUUUAACAAUGAGAAAAGCACAUACUGCAUAGUCAGCUAUAAAAGGCCCCGAAAUGACAAUGGAAAUGAUUUCAAACGAUAAAACUAACGGCCUUAUAUAUGACAAUUAAAGAUUUGACCCGGAAUUUAGUUGAAAAGAAACAUAUUAGUGGGAUUGGGGCAUAGUGUUCUAUGCAUGAUUUUUCUAAUGACGAAUAAUUUAAAAAGACCUGUUGUUGUUUAAGAAAUAAUUCUAUCAUGCCAUGCUCUAUGCUCAUUUUAACAUGGGUAGGCAUUAUAUUUGUUAAUAUCUUAAUACCGAGCAUUAGCAAGGUAUUAAAUGUUUACAAAUAUAAUGCCUACCCAUGUUAAAAUGAGCAUAGAGCAUGGCAUGAUAGAAUUAUUUCGAUUCUAAUAGGAAUAUUUUGAACUUUUUUACUUCAAAGCGGACCUAUAAUAGACGCUCCAGAUGUCGCCAUUUUGAUUUGAUGAACAAAACCGUUUUAGAAAAAUCAACAGUUUAUCAAUAAAAAAAGAACCGAAACAUUUAAAUACUUAUAGAAUGUUUUUAUUUAAUUUCCUAGCGAGCAACACAAACAAAAAUGUCCAUUUUGAUCUCUGGCGUUGUUCAAAAUUCAUUUGACGUUGCAAUUUCAAUUGUGACAUCAAUCACGUGCAGCCCAUGUUCUAUUCGAAUUAGAACAUGUUUUUGUACCCAAAGCUAAAGAAGAACCUCAUAUUACCUAGAAUAGGAUAUUUUAUGAGACAGACUUAGGAUAUUUGAUGUACAUAUUUACUAAAAUAGAAAUCUGUAUUCCAGAACCUUUGUUUUAAAUUAUAUCUUGCAUACUGAUUUUAAAGUUAUUUUUGGACUAAUCUAUGUUUUAUAUUGAAAUAUUAUGUUUUUGCAUGAUUAUACUUUGAAGAAAAAAAAGUAUUCAUUUUUCUUGAUCCAAUUAUUUACAUGUAAAGUUUUAAUUUAUGUUAAUGAAAUUCACAACAACAUGCCGUUAACCCACUUACUGCUUAAGUAGCCCAUUAUAAUUAUUUUCAGACACAUAAAUACUUUAAAAAAUAUGAUUUUGACAGAAUAUAUCACAUUUUGAGAGAAAGGUUCACUCUGGGUUAAUUUAAAUGCACUACAUUUCAUUCCUUUUAGAUUAAUUAUAGAAUUAUUUUAUAUUAUAGUGCACAUCACAAUGUGCAACCAUUACGUGAUGUGAUGUCCAUGGCGGCACACGAUUAAUUAUAUAUGGUACAUGUUGGCACUAACAGUAAUAAUUUAUGAAAUGGUUUUAAAAAAAAAGGGAAAAAGUGUUAUGGUCAUAAGACAAAGUUUCAUAUUGUAACAUUUUUUUGUGCCGUCAGUGUUACCUUGUGAACUAGUGACAUUUUUUUGUGCCGUCAGUGUUACCUUGUGCACUAGCCCACUGAAGACCAGGCUCAACUUUCAACAUUUUUUAGAUCUUUUAUAAUUAAGUUUUUGACGCUCACAGUCUACUCAUGAGUCUAUUAUAAGAGUCUAUAGAUUGAUUGAUUAUAUGAUAUGACGAUAUUGAAGCAGUGUAUAGAAACUCCUAAAUAUCUCUGUUCUGUCUUUUGGUUGCUGUCUGAAUGCUGAAUACCCCCAAAUCUUAUUUUUCUUGCAUCAAAACCUUCCAUUGACGGAAAUACACUAACACAAAUUGAUAAUUUUUGUUAACAUUGAAAUUGUGUAGCUGAAAUAAUUAAACACAGAAAAUUCAAUGUUUGGCCUUGUCAUCGUAUUUCUUGAUAAAAAACAACUUUUACCUGACUUAACUUUCAUUCUGCGGUAAACAAUGGUCAUUCUGAGGUCUUGUCACUAUUCAAUUAACCUGUGUAAAUAUCCUGUCGUGUACAAUCAUUGUUUUGACAUGACAACCUCAUUCCAUAGCCAGGUCAACAAGUGCACUAGGCGUACCGCCACUGUGUUAUAGUCAUAUUAAAUCGGCAUAAAAUGUGUCCAGUGAAAAUUAAUGCGAACUCUUGUGUUUGUUUUCUGUACGGUUAAAUAAAAGGAACUUUAUCCAAUAAUAGGUUUUAUCCCAAAACGGGCGUUAUUUCAAUAGCACUUAAAAAACUAUCAAGAACAAAUUAGGAUUCAUUUUAAGACUCAUUUGUCGUUGUUCUUGAGUGAAAAUUAGAUUUUUUUUUUAAUAUUGACAUUUAAGGAUCAGAGAGAGUGGACUGAGAAAGUUAACAAUGAAAAGCAGUUUAUUCUAUUAAAUAUCUUAUAACAAACAUUUAAUUAGAGAAUAGAAAUUUUUAUCGUUUUUUAUUCUACAGGCUACGAAUGUUGAACCUGUGAAACAGAUGUUAGAACGGAUUGUAUAUUAUAUAGAAGUUACAGCGAUAUGAUGUUCAAGUCAAUGUUCAACAG
rnacentral:lncRNA from 1 species